AGGAUGAACGCUAGCUACAGGCUUAACACAUGCAAGUCGAGGGGCAGCAUGGUCUUAGCUUGCUAAGGCCGAUGGCGACCGGCGCACGGGUGAGUAACACGUAUCCAACCUGCCGUCUACUCUUGGACAGCCUUCUGAAAGGAAGAUUAAUACAAGAUGGCAUCAUGAGUCCACAUGUUCACAUGAUUAAAGGUAUUCCGGUAGACGAUGGGGAUGCGUUCCAUUAGAUAGUAGGCGGGGUAACGGCCCACCUAGUCUUCGAUGGAUAGGGGUUCUGAGAGGAAGGUCCCCCACAUUGGAACUGAGACACGGUCCAAACUCCUACGGGAGGCAGCAGUGAGGAAUAUUGGUCAAUGGGCGAGAGCCUGAACCAGCCAAGUAGCGUGAAGGAUGACUGCCCUAUGGGUUGUAAACUUCUUUUAUAAAGGAAUAAAGUCGGGUAUGCAUACCCGUUUGCAUGUACUUUAUGAAUAAGGAUCGGCUAACUCCGUGCCAGCAGCCGCGGUAAUACGGAGGAUCCGAGCGUUAUCCGGAUUUAUUGGGUUUAAAGGGAGCGUAGAUGGAUGUUUAAGUCAGUUGUGAAAGUUUGCGGCUCAACCGUAAAAUUGCAGUUGAUACUGGAUAUCUUGAGUGCAGUUGAGGCAGGCGGAAUUCGUGGUGUAGCGGUGAAAUGCUUAGAUAUCACGAAGAACUCCGAUUGCGAAGGCAGCCUGCUAAGCUGCAACUGACAUUGAGGCUCGAAAGUGUGGGUAUCAAACAGGAUUAGAUACCCUGGUAGUCCACACGGUAAACGAUGAAUACUCGCUGUUUGCGAUAUACUGCAAGCGGCCAAGCGAAAGCGUUAAGUAUUCCACCUGGGGAGUACGCCGGCAACGGUGAAACUCAAAGGAAUUGACGGGGGCCCGCACAAGCGGAGGAACAUGUGGUUUAAUUCGAUGAUACGCGAGGAACCUUACCCGGGCUUAAAUUGCAGAUGAAUUACGGUGAAAGCCGUAAGCCGCAAGGCAUCUGUGAAGGUGCUGCAUGGUUGUCGUCAGCUCGUGCCGUGAGGUGUCGGCUUAAGUGCCAUAACGAGCGCAACCCUUGUUGUCAGUUACUAACAGGUUCUGCUGAGGACUCUGACAAGACUGCCAUCGUAAGAUGUGAGGAAGGUGGGGAUGACGUCAAAUCAGCACGGCCCUUACGUCCGGGGCUACACACGUGUUACAAUGGGGGGUACAGAGGGCCGCUACCACGCGAGUGGAUGCCAAUCCCAAAAACCUCUCUCAGUUCGGACUGGAGUCUGCAACCCGACUCCACGAAGCUGGAUUCGCUAGUAAUCGCGCAUCAGCCACGGCGCGGUGAAUACGUUCCCGGGCCUUGUACACACCGCCCGUCAAGCCAUGGGAGCCGGGGGUACCUGAAGUGCGUAACCGCGAGGAGCGCCCUAGGGUAAAACUGGUGACUGGGGCUA
rnacentral:rRNA from 1 species